rnacentral:rRNA from 1 species
AGCAGCCGCGGUAAUUCCAGCUCCAAUAGCGUAUAUUAAAGUUGUUGCAGUUAAAAAGCUCGUAGUUGAAUUUCGGGGUCAGUAGGUUGGUCGUGCCAAUGGUAUGUACUGGCUUUACUGAUUCCUCCUUCUUGAAGAACUGUAAUGCCAUUAAUUUGGUGUUGCAGGGAAUCAGGACUGUUACUUUGAAAAAAUUAGAGUGUUUAAAGCAGGCCUACGCUUGAAUACAUUAGCAUGGAAUAAUGAAAUAGGACGUUGAUCUUAUUUUGUUGGUUUCUAGGAUUGACGUAAUGAUUAAUAGGGAUAGUUGGGGGCAUUAGUAUUCAAUUGUCAGAGGUGAAAUUCUUGGAUUUAUUGAAGACUAACUACUGCGAAAGCAUUUGCCAAGGAUGUUUUCAUUAAUCAAGAACGAAAGUUAGGGGAUCGAAGACGAUCAGAUACCGUCGUAGUCUUAACCAUAAACUAUGCCGACUAGGGAUCGGAUGAUGUUAAUUUUUAAUGACUCAUUCGGCGCCUUACG